UCUUAACUCAGUCAGUAGAGCGUGAGAUGCUUUAUCUCAAGGUUGUGAGUUCGAGUCCCAUGUGAGAAA